rnacentral:lncRNA from 1 species
UUCUAUGACUGGAAGCACAUUUAAAUCCAAGGACGUUUUAAAGAAAAACAAUUUGAAAAAAAUUAGACAUAAAGAUGAAUAUUAGUUAAGAAUAAGAAGAAAAGGUCAUUGAACAGUUUCUUAGCAGUCUAGCAUGCAAUGAAUCUGAGUCCAAAAUUAACUCCUUGGCCUGUUUUGUUCAUAGCUAGGUCACCAGGACAGACAACAGCCUCUAACAUACAGCAGUUACUGAAAAAAUAAUCCCAGAGUGAAGUGUCUAAAUGAAGAAAACUGAUAGUAGCUGAGCCAAGGGAAGCAGGAUGAGGCCUUGCUGAACAAACAUUGAAACCAAUGGGAAGAAAUGGAUUUGAACCCAGGUGUUCAACUCAGGCAGCCCAUCUGGAACCUCCCCUCCAGGAUAAUGUCUCCUCCUUAAAUGAGAAAAAAAAGUCUAGCCCCUCCUCCUUCUUGCUGGAUGUGAACCGCUCUUGAGGACUUCAAUCACCUGGCCUCCCCUGCCCUUCGAGCUAAAGGUUAAUUGAGGGGUGAAUGAAAACAACACAGCGUCUUAUGAGAAAUGAAAGAUGGCCAGAUGGAACCCACCAAGGGCGGCUGAGAUUUCAAUUUCCUUACUGUAAUGAAAA